CUUCAAACUUUCGUCGCGCCCAUAAGUGGACUCUAUUGAAGCAUCACGACGUCGUCUAGAUUGAAUUACACGAUGGUGGGGCCCCGUCUUCUUCCGGCGCUCCUUCAACAACAGAGCUCUUCCUAUAUUUUCCAAGAACUUUAAUCA
ensembl:ncRNA F28E10.12 ncRNA